CACCAGCUACAGACAGAACAGCUAUUCCCUCCAAGCAGUGCUGCACUCCCUGCUCUGAGGUACCUCAGCAUUUCCCGCCCAAACGCCACAGCCCAGCACGAGCUGCUCUGUGCUCCUGAGGAACCUCUGUGUCUCCUGAGCCCUUGGAGGCAUUUCACACAGCAAUAUUUCACACAGCAAUAUUGCCCUGUCCAGGCUUGGUAUUACCUCAGUUUCCUGAGCAACACCCAGUACCAUCCCUGUACAUUUCUCCCUGCCAUACAGGCCUGUGUGCCCACACAGCUGUGUCACCGAGCUCACAGACAUCAGGAUGAAGCCACCAGGCCCUGCACAAGAAUGGAGCAACAGCGGGGCAGGCAACAGCAGUUUUCAGUCAAAGUGCAAGAACAAGACCCUGCUGUCAGUCCCUUCAGGAAACAACCAAGAGCUUUCACCCUAGAAAGGAAAGGAAACAGAUCAGAUUUAUUCCUCAUCCCUUUCCCAGUCCUGGGAUCAAUAGCAUCUAAAUGAACUGACAUGGGAUACUGAAAACUCCAGGUUCUUUGUGCAUAGGAAAAAGCACUACACACUGAGCCUAAAGGAUUUGUUCAGAAUUCACAGGUUGUCUUACCAUUGGAAAUGGCCGAGUGCAGCCAAUUUGGUGAUUUAUUCUUUUUCUCCCUAAAGUAAAAUAUUUUAGACUUAAAUGAAAGUCUGACACACUUAAGGUAUUAGCAGAUGCCAUAGAGGGGAUGCAUCUGGUUUCCAUUGUAAAUCUGCCAGAGGUUAGUUUCUCUUCUGGGAGUGUAUGCAUCAUAAUAACAUCUCAUUAUGUGAGGGCAUAAUAAUAACAGUGCAUAGAGAGCAAUAUUAAUGGGACAUAAGCAACUCCAAUUCUUGCAUUUCUCGAGUGUAUGGCUCUGCACCUUUCAAUGUAUCCUUCUAAAGUAUAGCUUUACAACUCAUUUCCCACCUGCAAAGUCUUUUAAAAAAGCAACCAACCUUCCUCUCUGUUCCCAAUAUUUAAUCUUUGUCACACUGCAAUGGCCCCAGAUUAGCAGGUCUGGAGCAUUCUGAGUCUCUCUGCAGACCUCUGCCAUAUCAGCCAACAGAGGUACUUGGAGCCCUGCACCAUUAGGAUGUUACUGAAGUUUGCUGGCAGUAGAGGAACACGCUUUCCUUUCAUUAAGAAAUAAUGUAACGGUGCUAAAUUAUA
rnacentral:lncRNA from 1 species